UCUUUAGCUCACUUGGUAGCACAUGAGACUCUUAAUCUCAGGUUUGUGGGUUUGAGCCCCACGUCGGGCAAAA